AACGAACGCUGGCGGCAUGCCUAACACAUGCAAGUCGAACGAGACCUUCGGGUCUAGUGGCGCACGGGUGCGUAACGCGUGGGAACCUGCCCUUAGGUUCGGAAUAACUCCCCGAAAGGGGUGCUAAUACCGGAUAAUGUCUUCGGACCAAAGAUUUAUCACCUUUGGAUGGGCCCGCGUUGGAUUAGCUAGUUGGUAGGGUAAAAGCCUACCAAGGCGACGAUCCAUAGCUGGUCUGAGAGGAUGAUCGGCCACACUGGGACUGAGACACGGCCCAGACUCCUACGGGAGGCAGCAGUGGGGAAUAUUGGACAAUGGGCGAAAGCCUGAUCCAGCAAUGCCGCGUGAGUGAUGAAGGCCUUAGGGUUGUAAAGCUCUUUUACCCGGGAUGAUAAUGACAGUACCGGGAGAAUAAGCUCCGGCUAACUCCGUG
rnacentral:rRNA from 1 species